CAGACCUCCAGCAAGCAGACAUGCCUGGGUUCCAGUGAGCUGCCCAUUCUGCUGCCCUCCGAGUUCACAGGUGAGGGAGAGUCAGCUCCGAGAGGAUACUUGGGCAACUACAGGGAUGCGACGAAGCAGGAUCUGAACCCAGACCCCUUGAUCUCCAGCCCUCAGGCAGCUGUUUCUAUUUGUGGGACCCAUGAGGAACACAGGAGCCACUGAAGGAGGGGUUCAUCUGAAGGCGAGUGAGUCAGGUAAGUUACCAGACCUUCCUGAGCU
rnacentral:lncRNA from 1 species